rnacentral:lncRNA from 1 species
AAAAAAAAAAAAGAAAACCUCCAAAAACAAAUGACAAUUCAUCACAUUUACUUUGAUUAAAAAAGGACUAAACUUUAUUGACAGAUUGAGACAGACAUUUUGACAAUUUUUGAGCUACCUAGUUAGGCAGACUUUACACAAAAUGUUGCAUUUUUCUCUUCCAGAACAGAGUGGGAGGACAGUGUCACAAAUCCAAUUAGGACUUUAUCUUAUGUACAAAGUGAAUUUUGGGUUGGUUUUUGUCUGUUUUAUUUUAAAUUUUGGUUUUUUUUUUUUUUUUUUUUUUUGUAUUUUGUUUUUUUUAAUGGUGGCAGCCACUACUGUUACAUUAUGAUUUUAAUUCUUAAAAAAUAACCCUGAAUUUUGAAAUGUAGCCUACUUUGGGAUUCUGCAACUACAACCUUUAUGGGUUCCUUUAAAACAAACUUUAAAAGUUUUAACAAAACCUUAAUUUCAGCACUAAGCAUAGCAUGUCACUUUUGGAAACUAACAUUUUUUUUU